CGUCACCCUCUCUGUCAUUUCCUCUGGCGUAUGAGAGCUUCGUGAGGCUAUCGACGGCGCCGGCCGUGCCUGAUCCCAUGGCAGUCGCACUGUACUCUUUGUCGAUGAGAUCCACCGGUUCUCCAAGUUCCACGACGCCAUCGCAGCCUCGAAAGCUCGCGUCCUCGCGAGCUCUGCAGUUCACGGGAUCGCGAGUGUUGCUGCCUGCUGCUUGUAGCCUCGUGUGCGCUGUUGCCUGCCGCUCGCGAGUGUUGCUGCUUGCUGCUAGCGAUACUUGCACUCUAAAUUGACUCAUGGGCUUUCUUAAUGUAGUUGAAUUGAGAGCAUCAAAAUAUUAAUCAUCAAACAUGGAUCUACAAUGACAGUAUAUGAAAGCUGGACAUAAAAAUGAGUCAAAAAAUAUAGCAGAUCCAAGGAUCUACAAAAGCUGGACAUACGAAAGUUGGACAUGGAUCUACUUCUGGCUCUACUGAAGUAGUGAUCAAUCCUCUUAUUAAAAUGAACAAGAAAACAUAUAGCAGAUCCAAGGUGUCCAAGAGAAGUAAGAUGAAGCUAAGUACUUUUGUUGCCCACAAUUGUAAAUUUAGUAAAAACUUAUUUUUUUUAAUUUUCUGAUUAUGAUGGUGGCAUGCAGCAUGAAUUAUUUGAUAUUAUGAAAUGAGUUCAUGAACCACAAUUGCUUUAGCAAUUACACCUACUAAAGCAUUCAGUAUCCAUAAAUUCACAUCUCCUCUUUUAUCCUCCAUAUAAGAGUGUUCAAUAGUGAUGUGGAUGCAGAGGAAUCAUUCCUGUAAGGGUAUGAUUAUAUAUGAAAAUCUGGUUAGACCAUGGGAUUAACAAGAGCCAAGAGAUAUUUAUGGAAGUUGCAUUAUUUUAUUAGGCUGUUCUGGCUGUUAGGCAAAUUUAUGCAGUUCAAUAAUGCUAUAGUUGUUGAUACAUUCAUUGGACUUGAAAUUUUAUACAACUCAUCGUUUAUCAAAUUAAGAUGGACUUUGUAGUGAUCUAAUAUGACACAUUCUCAAGAUGACA